rnacentral:lncRNA from 10 species
AAAAAAUCAAGGCCUGGAAAGGUUCUUUGAUGCACAGUUGACAACUAAUGGCAGAGUGGGCCUAGAAGCUGGGCCUCCUUACUGCCAGACAGAACUCCAGCAUGCUGCCUUCUAUAAUCAGGGUAAUGAGCUAUAGGAUGGUAGAUGAUGCAGCAUUCAAAGACUUGGAAGUAGAAGGUGCCAUGCAUCUAACCAUCAUGGUAUCCACACAACCAGCACCCUCUUCCCUCCUCUCUCCCCAUUGUUCUGUAAGUAGGAGAACGAGAAGGACAUGUUCUCUUUCUGUUGUUUUAUGGUAUUUUGUGGGUAGCAAGUAACAAUAUUAACAAUUAAUAAAAAAAAAAAUUAGAAG